GCUUUAUCAGAGCUCAAUUGUACUAGUGAAUCAAGUGGUGAGAGGUCAGUUAGUGAAUUAGACCAAUUAGAGCUUGUACAGUUAAAUUAUCUGUCUUAUUACCUACUGAUAAACAGCCUUGCCAUAUCUUUGCUCAGAUGAUGAAGCUUAGAAGUGUUUUAUGAGGACAAGAAGUCUCAGAAACCUUUCUUCAGAAGGGGAUAUCUUUGCUCUACUCAUGAAAAUGAGGACAAACUCUUCACAGCAUGAGAUAGUGAAGAUGAUUGUGGGACUGAAAAUAUCAUUAGACAAGACACUGGCAAGAUGAUAAUCUUCUGACUUUUUGUCUCACUUUCUUAAUAGUUGUAAUUUAAAUAAUUAAAACUAAAAGAAUUUUGACAACAGUUACUUAUUUCCAUUCAUUUACAUUUUUUACUGUGUACUUUCAUAAUUGCUUAACAGAAUAACAUGGUACUGCUCAGCUAGUUU
rnacentral:lncRNA from 1 species